rfam:Heterocephalus glaber contig179875, whole genome shotgun sequence.
CCAAAGGCCCUUUUCAGGGCCGCCCACAUAUCCCUUUAAAGGAGCU